UGUGAAAAUUACCCACCACUUGAGGAUGUGUAUGAUGUAAUUAAUGAACCUCAAGUGUGUGAUUAUGUUGAAAAUAUUAAUCAAAGUGAGAAUGAACCCGAGAGCUCUUCUUGGGGUAAUGUUGUGUUUGAAACACCCUUGAAACUUGAUAUUGAUCAUUUAGAGUGUGAGGAACAUUCUUGUUCCAAAUCUUUCCGUGAGGUAGAUCACACUCUUUUUAUGUAUAAUGUCUUGUUUGAAGAUGAUUUAAACACUCCUAAUGAACCUAGUGGUGAAAAUAAU
rnacentral:lncRNA from 1 species